rnacentral:lncRNA from 1 species
GAACUGUUGAUGAGCAGCUCGUGUGUAAGGCCAGCAUCGCUCUAGCAACAGCUGAUUGGGGCAGUCACUGGGAGAGAGAGGAGACAGGAUUACCUGGAAGAGUGUGCACACAACUGCUCAAGGACCACGAGGGCAGAAGGAAAGGGGGCAAUGGCCCAACUGCUGCUUACAGCCACUCCCACCCAGGCCCCUGGGGUAGUCAUGGGGAGAGGCCCACAGUGACAGUGCUCCUGUUAAGGAGAAGUGAGAGGCCUCUGAUUCAAACCAGCAUUACCAGGAAAAGAGAAAGGCUGUCAGUGGCCAAAUUCUCUGGGCCUAGACCAGGUCUAACCAGCUCCAAACUAGCUUUUUUCCUCCUCCCUGCUUCUGCACAAA